GGGAGAGGCAAGCGUUAUCCGGAAUUAUUGGGCGUAAAGCGUCCGCAGGCGGUUAAUCAAGUCUGUUGUCAAAGCGUGGGGCUCAACCUCAUACAGGCAAUGGAAACUGAUUGACUAGAGUAUGGUAGGGGUAGCGGGAAUUCCAGGUGUAGCGGUGAAAUGCGUAGAUAUCUGGAAGAACACCAGCGGCGAAAGCGCGCUACUGGGCCAUAACUGACGCUCAUGGACGAAAGCUAGGGGAGCGAAAGGGAUUAGAUACCCCUGUAGUCCUAGCCGUAAACGAUGAACACUAGG
rnacentral:rRNA from 1 species